UAUCAGGCAGCCAAUCAGUAAACAUCAGCACUCACAGCAGGAAAGCUAGGGAUUGUGGGGAUUGUAGUUUUGUGAGGGAGGAUCGGGCGCCAUGAUACUCAGUGUGUUGCAGGCUCACACAGGAGCUAGACAAAUGGAUUGCAAGGUAAAUUGAAGCUCUGGUUAUAUGUAUGGGUUCUGGUUGGGCCACAGCUUGCAGCCUUAAUGCAGUUUU